GUCCCUGUAGCUCAGUCGGAUAGAGCAACUGCCUUCUAAGCAGUGGGUCGGGCGUUCGAGUCGCCCCAGGGACGCCA
rnacentral:tRNA from 1 species